rfam:Triticum aestivum genome assembly, contig: Triticum_aestivum_CS42_TGACv1_scaffold_621842_7DS
CUUAUACUCCCUCCGUCCUGAAUUACUUAUCGUAGAAAUGGAUAAAAAGGAUGUAUCUGAAACUAAAAUACGUGUAGAUACAUCCAUUUCUUCGACAAGUAUUUUCGGACGGAGGGAGUAUUUC